GAUGAACGCUGGCGGCGUGCCUAAUACAUGCAAGUCGAGCGAACGGACGAGAAGCUUGCUUCUCUGAUGUUAGCGGCGGACGGGUGAGUAACACGUGGAUAACCUACCUAUAAGACUGGGAUAACUUCGGGAAACCGGAGCUAAUACCGGAUAAUAUUUUGAACCGCAUGGUUCAAAAGUGAAAGGCGGUCUUGCUGUCACUUAUAGAUGGAUCCGCGCUGCAUUAGCUAGUUGGUAAGGUAACGGCUUACCAAGGCAACGAUGCAUAGCCGACCUGAGAGGGUGAUCGGCCACACUGGAACUGAGACACGGUCCAGACUCCUACGGGAGGCAGCAGUAGGGAAUCUUCCGCAAUGGGCGAAAGCCUGACGGAGCAACGCCGCGUGAGUGAUGAAGGUCUUCGGAUCGUAAAACUCUGUUAUUAGGGAAGAACAUAUGUGUAAGUAUCUGUGCACAUCUUGACGGUACCUAAUCAGAAAGCCACGGCUAACUACGUG
rnacentral:rRNA from 1 species